AUUAGACACAUUCGCGUGUUUUUAACCUUGUGCCUUUUCGUUUAAAUGAAAAAAAAAAAGUUUUUGCUUUCGCUUCCUCUUCUCCUAGCCUGCACUUGUCACAGCCAAACACAAUGAGCGGUCACCUCUGCCUUGCCUUCUUGGUGCUCCCUUCUCCAUUUUUCCUGCACGGUGCUCUAUUAUCCAUUCUGUGCGUCUACUUCUCCCAUGCUCUACCGCAUCUCCAAUCCAUUCCAUGCUUAUGCGUUGGCCUGUUUCUCUCUUUUGUAAUCGAAAAAGAUCGAAAAUUAUCUAUUACUGUUUAGCCCCAAUCCCGCGCCUACCGAGCAGCGCUGCAGUGUCAAGGUUUUGGAAGCUCUCCAAGACUAUUGAAGAGAUCCUGAAUCAGGUGUAGGGCCUAAGCUCUCGUUCUACCUCUUGCUAUUUCAAAUGCCAUAGACUCAGAUGUAGUUUCUUAAUGGAUGCAACCUACGUGGAAAAAGGAAAAAAAAAGAGCUUUCUUUCUAAAAACUCUUAAUAGAGUGGGUGGAUUUUGAGUGCUCGCUGUUUGGUCCCCUCCAUUGGUCGAUGUUGUCUCGCCGUUGGAAGGACAGGUAUUACUAUUUAAGGUUAUGUCUUGUUUGAUGGACCCCACGAAGUCAUGCCAAGUAUGAGAUCCGACGAUCAUAAUAUCUUACAUUUCAUUUUACUACUUAGUGAUGUUCCCCCUAAUUCUCCUGCGACAUAUAGUGUAGCGGGGAUGAUGUUUCAAGCAUAUUUAUAUUUAUAUAUCGAAAAUUCUUAUCAGUACACAUUUAGAAAACACUAUUGUGUAUCAUCGACACUUCCACAUCAAUUGAAUUAAUUAAUUUCUUCAUAUCUUAUCGUUAAAAUUAAAUUAAAAGGAAUUAGGUAUUACUUCACGCGCUGCAUGAAUUCGUAUAGAAAUUAGUGAUGUGUAAUUUAUUCAACAAAGUUCAAAGAUAUAGUUAUGAUAUCUUUCUUUAUAUAUAUAUAUUAUUAAAACUGUUGUUCCAUCAUGAGUGACGGAAAUGCUACCAAGUGUCCCAUCUCCCACUUUCAUUGAUAAAUAAGAACACAAAAACUAUAUUUGGAGCGGUAAGAGAGUGGUUCAUGUUUCCCAAAUUACAUGGAUUCGAACCUCUCCACCCCAUUAUGAUCUUUAUUUUUUUUGUUUUUUUUUGUUUUUUACCCUUCUCUUUCCUAUUUUUUACUUUUUCUUACGAACUUUGAAUGCUUUUCAUAUUUGUUCCCCCUUUUAAUUACUUCUCCUAUCUUCCAAAUAAUUUUAAAAUUAGUAUAUCACAUUUACAUAUACAUUUAACUAAUUCCUUUCAUACUAGGAGAUCGGUCGAGUGAAGUCCGGACCCAAAAUAGAGAGUAAAAGAAAAGGACAUUACACAUUUUGCAAAAGUGGAGUAGUAUCAUUUUUAUACUCAUGUAUUUAUUUCCUUGAAAAUGAUACUCUGCACAACUUUCUAUGUAUAAAAUACGUGGAUAAAAAACGAUGAAUUUAGUUCUAUUAAAGUGUUAGCAUACUUUUCA